CCCAGGCAAGAAUACUGGAGUAGGUUGCCAUUUCCUUCUCCAGGGGAUCUUCUUGAUGGGAUUGAGCCUACAUCUUGUCUCCUGCAUCUGUAGGCAGAUUCUUUACCUCUGAGCCACCAGGGACGCCCUAUAGAGAUGUUAAAGUGAAGUGAAAUUGUCAGUCGCUAAGUCAUGUCUGACUCUUUGAGAUCCUGUGGACAGUAUCCCACUAGGCCCCUCUGUCCGUGGGAUUUUCUAGGUGGAUUCUUUUACCAUGGAACCUUCUCAGGUGACACCUAACUGGUCUCUCUUUGGAUUAAAGACGGCAUGGACAGGUUUAUGGGAACUACAAAGUUAUUUCAAGGUAUUUUGAGCCCAACCAAGAAAAGAGAGGUGCUUUCUGUCAUAAAUCUCCUCCUUUUCUAAUACAAAUUCCCCUUUCAGUCUCUUAUCAUCCUUAAACCCUUCCAAGAGGAAGUUAAAAAAAAAGGUAUACAUUCUCAAAUGUCUGAAAAUGAUUCGAGAGAGGAAAGUUUACCUUUUAACUCUCCCCAUAUUAACCUAUUUUCUACUGCCCAGCGUUGAAGUUAAUCAACUACAGGAAAAACCUUCCUGUAUGAAAAGAACCACUCCUCCCAGUUACAGAUUUUUUUCCUCCAGUUCAAAUGACUAUGUCAUUUGAUAAAGAUGUUACAUGAUCUUUAAAGUCUUUAGUGGAACAGUCCUGAAGGGUGCCCAGUUUUCAGUCUCUGCUUUGCUCUUGCCCAUCCCAGCUAUUUCUACUCUGUACUCUAUUAUCUGAACGCCGUUUGCAGUUCAUCAUGGAUCUCGGGAGAGGCAUGGGGAAGCAUAUCAAUAGAACUAUCUUUGGAAAUAAUGGCAUUUGGAAAUAAUUUUUGUCUGCUUCAUAACUGAAAGCGAUCACUCCCCGGAAUGCCCUUCGCAAGGAGGCGAGGCUGCUUACCCAGCCUGUUUCGGCUUGGUUCUCUUAGAUGCUUGGGUGUCAAGCCCUGUGUGUAAUUUCCCUAGACAGAAGCUGGCAUUGCCUCCCCUCCUGCGAACUUCAUUCCUCUGGAUCCUUCUCUUGUUGAUCCUGCUUCGCUUUUGGUUGGAUUUCUUCAGAAACAGCUGUCUGGUGUUCCAGGGUUCUCUGCUCUGCUGUGGUCCGCCUUGCUCACCGAAGAUCGCCGCUGUGGUCGCUCCUGGGCCCUGGGAACCAGGGAGACUCGAGAGAUUCAGGUUCAAUCCCUUGGUCAGGGAGAUCCCCUGGGGAAGGAAAUGGCAGUCCACUCCAGUAUUGUUGCCUGGAAAAUUCCAUGGAUAGAGGAGCCUGGUGGUCUACAGCAGACUAGUGGGGAAUGUUCCACAAAAGAGCAAGCAAGAACAUACAAAGUAUCAGAGAUGUCAUCUCAGAAGUGGCACGCUGUCAUCUCCACCCAUUUGUUAUUG
ensembl:lncRNA